UGUUUUAAUCCCUUUUUAAUACCUUUAAACAAGCAUUCCUUGUGUAUAUACAAGCUGAAUCUCUGAAAAGUUCCAACAAUUUAAAUGAAAUUUAAUAUGCAGGGGUUUCGGAGGUUUACUGUUAGUAGGUGCGCCAAAAAAAAUUUGAACAAAGCUCACAGAGAUAUUCAUAUAAUGCACAAGUAUGAGACAAAUAUUUUAGCAUUCCAUGGAUUCAUGGUGAUCCUCUCGCACCUUCUAUGGUGUACAGAUACAGACUAACUACAUAGCCAUUUUUAGUCAAUUCAUUUGUUAUACUACAGCCUUUCUUAAUGAGUACUGUUUACCAACAAAUAAAUUAGAAAUGAAGGUAGAUAACACAUGUCUUUUUAUAACUUAUUUAUUUUAAAUUAUGUAUGGUUUGUUUAUAAAAUGUUAUAUAAAAUAUAUUUACCAUAUCUGAUUGUUCUAUGGUAAUUAAUCAAAUUUAUUUUCAUUAAUUUAAGAGCAAGUUAAUUAUAAUUAUUACUAGCGGACACCCGCAACUUCGUCCGUGUGAAAAUCGAAACACACUUUCAACCCUUUCGCCACUUCUAUGUAUAUUUUCAUGUUUUAUAUCACACCAUCACACUUCACGAAGAUUUUGUGUGUAAGUGUGUAAGUAUGUUGUUGUAUGAUGAUGAAGAUUAAGGACAGUUAAUGGAAUUCCUCAACAGUUUUAAGUAGCUACUUUGUGAUUGGGUUUGAUUAAUUUGUAUUGAUGAGGAGUUUUCACCUAGAUGGGUUGUGACUGUCAUUAGGGGUCUGGUUAGGAAUACGAAAGAUACUUAACGAAACUCUUCAACGAUUUGCAGUAGCUACCUUUUGUUAGGAAUUUAAGUUGUGUAAUCAUGUCAUCUCUUUUUAUUUUUAUUUAUUUAUUUUAUAACAAUAUUUAUAUUAGAUAUAAUAACAUCACCAUUAGGUAAUGACCAGGAUUUCUCUCUGGGGCACGCAGGUCUGAGUCUGACACCACCAAGUGUCUCCUGCUACUAAAAUUUCUCUUAACAAGUUCAGUGCCACAUCACACGACGUCGCGUGAAACGGCCUUUUACGCUGAGGCCGGUAACGCGACGUCGCGUGUCAAACUUGAUAUUCGUGUUUCUACACCUACUAAAAUUGUCAGUUCACCAGAAAACAUGUUGAAGUACGUCAUUUUAUUUGGACAGUGUUAAGCUGUUAUGUAUCAAGCCACAAAAUGUGCGAAAUUGAACUUUGAAUGCAGUUUAGUUUAAUUAGUUCUUUAGUUCAAAACUUCAUAAAGAACACCACCGUAUUAUUAUAAUAAUAUUGUCUUCUAUACUUUUUCAUAUUUUGGUUACAUUGGUACAUUAUUGCAAUCUAAUCAGAUGGUUAUAUAAUUCACAAUCAAACUAUUGUAUUUAGCGUUUAUGUGAUAUACUGCAUUGGAUGUAAAGGAAAAUAAUCUAUUGCGCUAUUCCUAUUUUUGCCUUAAUGUACUAUCCCUCCUUGAUACCUACACAUAAUUUGUUUUUAAAUACAACCGACUUUAAAACUUUAACGUACCCACGCAACUAAAAAGGGAAAAAUAACAUUAUAAUAAUUUCUACCUAUUGAUCACUUUGAAGUCGGCGUCAAGCCUGUGAUCUAUUAAUUCAAGGCGUAUCCUAAAGAUUUUUGUCUCAGACAUUCUUUUUGUCAUUCAUGUGGUUUUUUCAUAAACGAAAAAAACGAACAAAGUGAUUCAUAGGUAGAAAAUAUUAUAAUGUUAUUUUUCAGUUUCGUGGGAACGUUAAAGUUUUGAAGUCGAAUCUACUGAGCAUUAGAAUUAAAAUGUACGAGUUAUCAAUAAAUACUCUGUGAAUCUUUACUUUCUAAACAUACUAAUAUUAUACAGGUAAAGUUUGUGGGAUUGUAAGGGUUAAUCUCUGGAUCUACUUAACUGAUAUUCAAAAUUCUUUUAACACUAUAAAGCCUCGUUAUUUGUGAGUGUUAAAUGCUAUAAUUUAUCUCCGUAUUCUCACGGGAACGGGAAUUACGCGGGUGAAACCGCGGGGCUAGUCUAUACUAAUAUUGUAAAAAGGUAAAAUUUGUGAGGUUUUAGAGGGUAGACUCUGGAUCUACUGAACUGAAUUUAAAUAUUCUGUUAAUAAUAGAAAACUACAUUAUUUAUUAGUAUUAUAAUAAGCUAUAUUUUAUCCCCAUACUCCGAGGAGAAAACCGCAGAGCGUCUGCUAAAAAAUGUUUGAGGAAUUGUAAGGGGUUAUCUCUGGAUCUACUAAACCGAUUUUGAAUAUUUUUUUACCAAUAAAAAGCUACGUCAUUUGCAAGUGUCGUAGGCUAUUCUAUUCACAUAUUUUCUCGGAAACGGGAACUACGCGAGUAAAACCGCGGGGCGUCUUUUAAAAUAUUAUAACGAGGUAAAGGUAUUGUAGGGGUAAUCUCUGGAUGUACAGCACCGAUUUUGAAAAAUUUUUAUACCACUAGAAAGCCACGUUAUCUGUGAGUGCCUUAAACUAUAUAUUCUCCUCAUACUCUUAAGGAAACGGGCAUUACAUGACUGAAACCGCGGGGCCUCUACUAAAAUACUAUAAAAAGGUAAAGUUUUGGGUAUUGUAGGGGGUAAUCGUUUGAUCUACUACACCGAUUAUGAAAAUUAUUUUAACAUACUAGAAAGCUCCAUUAUUUGUUAGUUUUACAGGCUUCAUAUUCCCACGGAAAAGAGAAUUACGCGGGUGAACCUGCGAGACGUCGGCUAAUGAUGAAUAUAUCACCCCUAUUUUCUCACCCUUAGGGUAGUAACUUUUUUUUAAAACUAAUAUGAGACUAAUUUUGAAGUCAUAUCUUAUAAAAGAAAAAUUAUUAAAAUCUGACUAUAAUAUAAAAAGUUAUUCGUGGGUUUACUUUACAAUUAAUGGGUAGGUAUACAUUCAAUUAGGGUUAGAUUUUUUUUCGUAUUUGAAAUUUAUAUGGGACCUAAUUUGAAAUAUAUUUUUUUUCAUUAUAUUUCCUUUCUAACAAUACAAAAUUAUCAAAACGGAUUGCUCAGGAUUGUGAUGUUUGGAAGUCCCUACAAAAGGCCUAUGUCCUACAGUGGACGUCCAUCGGCUGAUAUGAUGAUGACGAUGAUGAUAAAUUUGGAAAAAAAUCCAACUCUAUGGUUAGGAAAACAGGGGAUGAUUGAGUGUAUACCCAUUAAUUGUAAAGUAAAACUACGCAGAACUUUCUUAUAGUGAAGUAGAUUUUGAUUUUUGAUUUGGCUAGGCAUUUCACCCAAGCACAUAAAACGCGCUGCCUUGGCCCACGCGCCUAAUUAUACCCCGGCCUUCGGCCGGGGGUUUGUGGUAGGGCCCCCGACCGCGGCCGCCGCAUUAUACCCAAGCACAUAAAAAGCGCAAAAUCCAGCCGCGCACCGAAUAGCUCAAAGCAAAAGCGGGACCGGAGCGGAAAAAUAGCUCACAACGCGUUCUGGUCACAAUAAAACAUCAAAUGUCGGUCUGUCUGUCUGUGUGUAUGUUCGUUAUAGGAACAAAAACUGCUCAACGGAUUUUAACGAAACUUGGUACAAUUAUUCUUCAUACUCCUGGAUAUAGUAUACUUUUCAUCACACUACGAUCAAUAGGAGCAGAGUAGUGAAGGGUAAACGUAUGUAGGGAAAACGGGAGAAGUUACUCCCGUUUUCGUAAGAAGAGGUUUAAGGGCGGACGAAGUCGCGGCCAUCCGCUAGUCUUCUAAAAUAGUAGAUUGUUAUACAAGGGGCUAAAAAGACCCAUUAUAUACGAGGUAUUUUUACGCCUAAAUAGAAACCGAGUUUAUAAUGGGUUUAGCCCCAUGUGUUACACUCUGCUUUUCACUACGAUUGCGAGAAAAUAAAAUAGUUUAGUACAUGUUCAAUGAUUUAUUUUAAUUGAAAAUUAAAUAUACAAAGUCUACAAUUUUGGAUAUUAAGGACAAUGCUUUUACCCGGUAACAUAAUUUCCGACUACUGUGAAGAUGAAUAAUGAGUAUGUGAGGUAAACGUGGGAGAUAAUAGUUUAAAAAACUCCUUUCGUCAACCAUGCAGAAGUAUUCAGCAACACAGUCUACAUCUCUCUAUCGAUGCAUUUGAAGACAUGCGAACGAUUUAGAAUGGACCAUAAUUAUAGUGUCCCACCUAUUAACAUUGAUAAUGGCUUUUUCACUGCUGAAAUAAUAUUAUUCAUGAACAAUUUGUUUGAUAGCCUUAAUGGUGGUGGUCAUAAAAGUACCAGUUUACGUAAUGCUUUAUCUUUAGAAUCAGAUCACUUUCAGUUUUGGAAUGAAGCAGUGAAAAAACUACAAUCAAUGAAAUUUGAUGCUACAGACUCAAGAAAAAUGAGGCCAAUUUCAUUACGUAACUUUUGUCACGAUAUAAAAACCGUAAAGAUUUUAAAAACAUUUCAGGCGUUAACUUCUUGAGUCUUCAGCAAUUAAACCAGGAUCCCCUGGAUUUUUUUUCACAAAUCAGAGGUCAUGGUGGCUCUAAUACACACCCAGAUUGUCACAAUUUUAUUUCGUCAUUUAAGACAUUGUUAAUUAAUGAUAUGACAUCUGAUAGUUCUAUAUAUGCAAAUUGUUCUCGCGAUAAAGAUAAAAUGCUUGGUUCUCUCAGGAGUUUAAUUAAUAGACCAAAAAUAGAUAUUCAAUGUAUUGAUUACACAUCUCAACAUCAAAAUUUAGAUUUCAUAGAUACUUGUAUUCCUUCCGAAAACGUUUUUCAAACUUAAGCUGUGUUUUUGCAGGUGCAAUUUGCAGAUAUUUAUUUUCAAAACUAGAUUGUGCAGACUGCCAAAGUUGUAAAAAUGCACUAUUGUCUGAUGUAAAUGAACCAUUUCACUCUUUAAUUGAAUCCAGAGAAUAUAAUGCAAGUACCAGAUUUUUUUAUCAUCCGUCUCGUAAUCUUUUGAGUCUUGUAUGACAAUGUAUUUAUUUAAUUGAAGAAAUAUAGCCAAAAAUUUGUAACGUUUACAUUUACACAGAUUUAAUUAAUGUAUUUAAAAAUCGGCUCGAUACUUCUUUCUUAUCUUGUGACAAGCAUAAAUUGGGGUUUUUUAACGCUUUUUGGUUGUUUGUCAUUAGAAUGCAAGUCAGACAAUGGUGUAUUAAUUUUAAUAGGAAGAUGCACAAUGUAGAUACUAGAAAGAAAGGAAAGGAAAUGGAAGAUAUGCUUAAAAAUAAAGUAAGUUAAGGUGCUAGCUAUAGAUCUACACACCACCAAAGUCAGUAAUUUUUUCAUACCGUAUGUUUGUAUUCAUAUUUUCUUAACUUGGAAUUUAAAUUAAAGAUUAUUUUUCAUGCUAUUUAUCAGUCUUUCAAAUUUCCAUUUUGAAUUCUUUCAAACUAUUACUUUUGUAAGAGUAAGUUAUUAGGUAUUUGUAUUCUAUUAUUAUAUUUAUUUUUUGAUAGACUAUUAUUAUAGAUUUUUGUUUGUUAAGAGUUAACUCAAAAACUUACACUACUGAUUUUAGAAAUCCACUCUUUACUAGAAAGCUACAUCUGUAACAUAUACAGGGUGCUCGGGAGUAUUUCCCAUAACUUCAAGGUGUCGACGAGUCCACAUAAAGGAACCGAACUGCAUAACUAAUA